AGCUUUGUGUAGUGGCAGUAUUGUAGACCACAAGGCUUGACCGAGGCACGAUUAUUGCUAGUUGAACUUUCAUAUAGCAGAAAUUCCUGUCAUCCUAAAUGAAGUAUGAAAAGGGUAUUUCUGAGCAGACUAGCAGUAGC
rnacentral:snRNA from 1 species